rnacentral:misc_RNA from 1 species
AAAUUUUAUUUUAUUUUAUUUUUUAAAUUUGAAAUGAUUUGAAAUUUGGGAUCCGUAUCAGAAUUUCAGACGUUGCAGGCACAUGCAUGGUGAUAUUCAGGAGAUCUAUUUUGUGUUUCUAUUUCAAUGGUAUUGCGUUGACCUGGACAUUAGAGUUUUGUUCCCAAGUCCUCUUGUGUCUGGUGAUUAGCUCUUGAAUAAUUUCUAUGCUGAAUUUGUCAUGUGGCUAUGGCUUCUUUCUUCUUUGAAUCUCCAUUGUAUUAUUUGCUGUGGUAGAAUUUACUGGGUUCUGUUAAUGCUGCAGAUUGGGAUUCUGGACGUGGUGGU